AUUGAACGCUGGCGGCAGGCCUAACACAUGCAAGUCGAACGAGUGGCGGACGGGUGAGUAAUGUCUGGGAAACUGCCUGAUGGAGGGGGAUAACUACUGGAAACGGUAGCUAAUCCCGCAUACCAUCGGAUGUGCCCAGAUGGGCUGAGCUUGUUGGUGGGGUAACGGCUCACCAAGGCGACGAUCCCUAGCUGGUCUGAGAGGAUGACCAGCCACACUGGAACUGAGACACGGUCCAGACUCCGACGGGAGGCAGCAGUGGGGAAUCUUGCACAAUGGGCGCAAGCCUGAUGCAGCCAUGCCGCGUGUAUGAUGAAGGCAUUCGGGUUGUAAAGUACUUUCAGCGGGGAGGCGUUACCCGCAGAAGAAGCACCGGCUAACUCCGUGCCAGCAGCCGCGGUAAUAC
rnacentral:rRNA from 1 species